ACUUGCCUAUGGGACAUUGGAGUGUAGUAUGCCCUGUCUCUAUUUUUGAUGCCCAGUCGCUCAAGCUAGAAAAAGCAACACUCCUGCUGUGACCCCACUAUGGAUAUCUGGCCCCUAUGUUGGAUAUUUUUUAGUCUCCUGAAAGCAGGACUCACGGGAACCAAAGUCACGCAGAUGCCAAGUCAUGAAGUGGUACAUGUGGGGCAGAUGGUGACCCUCAGCUGUGACCCUGUCUCUAAUCACCUUUACUUCUAUUGGUAUAAACUCAUCUUGGGACAGCAGAUGGAGUUUCUGGUUUCUUUCUACAGUGGUAAAAUCUUGGACAAGUCUAAACUAUUCAAGGAGGAUCGGUUUUCAGUUGAAAGGAAAGAGGAUUCAUAUUUCACUCUGAAGAUACAACCCACAAUGCUGGAGGACUCAGCCAUGUACUUUUGUGCCAGCAGCUUAUCCACAGCCUUGCAAAAACACCUCCUUCCUAUGCUUCUGAAGCCAAAGUUGCCUAAAGACAAUUACAUCCCUCUUCUAGCAGCACCCGAGGAGCCCUCUUCUCCCCAGUGGCCUUACUCAGCCCCUGCAUCACCCUGUUCCCGCAUUCUUGCUUAUUCCCUGAGUACCACCUUCUCAUAUGGUGCCUGUUGA